rnacentral:rRNA from 1 species
CUGGAUAUUUAAGUCAGGAGUGAAUCCCGCAGCUCAACUCUGGAACUGCAUCGAUACUGGGUAUCUGAGUAUCGAAGAGGUAAGUGGAAUCCGAGUGUAGACGUGAAAUGCGUAGAUAUCGGAAGGAACCCCCAGGGCGAAGGGCGGACUCACUGGUCCUGAUACUGACCACUGAGGGUGCGAAAAGCGUGGGGAGCCAACCAGAAUAAGAUACCCUGGGUAGUCCACGCCCGUAAACGAAGAUCAUUUAGCCGUCGGGCAGUAUACUGUUCGGUGGCGCACAUAACGCAUUAAACAUUCCGCGCGGGGAGUACGGUCGCACGAUUAUAAAUCAAAGGAAUUGACGGGGGCCCGCACACGCGGUGGAGCACAUGGUUUAAUUUGAAGCAACGCGCAGAACACUACCAGCUGCCGACACUUGGUGUAUGGGCAUCGGAGAUGAUGUCGUUCAGUUAGGCUGUCCCCAGCACAGGUGGCGCAUGGGUGUUCUCAGCUCGUGUCGUGAGAUGUUGGGUUAAGUCCCGCAACGAGCGCACCCCUCCCCCUUAGUUGCCAGCAUUUAGUUGGGCACUCUAAGGGGACUGCCGGUGAUAAGCCGAGAGGAAGGUGGGGAUGACGUCAGUUCUCCAUGGCCCUUACGCCAUGGGUUCCCCACGUGUUCCAAUGGUGGUGCCAAUGGGCAGCGAGACAGGGAUGUCAAGUUAAUCUCCAAAACCCAUCUCAGUUCGGAUUGCACUCUGCAACUCGAGUGCAUGAAGUUGGAAUCGCUAGUAAUCGCAGAUCAGCAUGUCACGGUGAAUACGUUCCCGGGCCUGUACACACCGCCCGUCACACCAUGGGAGUUGGGUUUAUCCGAAGGUAGUUAGUUAACCGCAAGGAG